rnacentral:rRNA from 1 species
AGUGAACGCUGGCGGUAGGCCUAACACAUGCAAGUCGAACGGCAGCACAGUAAGAGCUUGCUCUUACGGGUGGCGAGUGGCGGACGGGUGAGGAAUACAUCGGAAUCUACUUUUUCGUGGGGGAUAACGUAGGGACACUUACGCUAAUACCGCAUACGACCUACGGGUGAAAGCAGGGGAUCUUCGGACCUUGCGCGAUUGAAUGAGCCGAUGUCGGAUUAGCUAGUUGGCGGGGUAAAGGCCCACCAAGGCGACGAUCCGUAGCUGGUCUGAGAGGAUGAUCAGUCACACUGGAACUGAGACACGGUCCAGACUCCUACGGGAGGCAGCAGUGGGGAAUAUUGGACAAUGGGCGAAAGCCUGAUCCAGCCAUGCCGCGUGUGUGAAGAAGGUCUUCGGGUUGUAAAGCCCUUUUGGUUGGGAAGAAAAGCAGUAAGUUAAUACCUCGCUGUUUUGACGGUACCCAAAGAAUAAGCACCGGCUAACUUCGUG